rnacentral:rRNA from 1 species
GUCCACGCUGUAAACGAUGGGCACUAGGUGUCUGGGGUAUUGACCCCCUGGGUGCCGCAGCUAACGCAUUAAGUGCCCCGCCUGGGGAGUACGGUCGCAAGAUUAAAACUCAAAGGAAUUGACGGGGGCCCGCACAAGCGGUGGAGCAUGUGGUUCAAUUCGACGCAACGCGAAGAACCUUACCUGGGCUAGACAACAGUGUACCGUCCUAGAAUAGGAUCUUCCCUUCGGGACCGCUGGUUCAGGUGCUGCAUGGCUGUCGU